rnacentral:rRNA from 1 species
GAGGAAUAUUGGUCAAUGGACGGAAGUCUGAACCAGCCAAGUAGCGUGCAGGAUGACGGCCCUAUGGGUUGUAAACUGCUUUUAGUUGGGAAUAAAAAAGAGGACGUGUCCUCUAUUGUAUGUACCUUCAGAAAAAGGACCGGCUAAUUCCGUGCCAGCAGCCGCGGUAAUACAGAAGGUCCAGGCGUUAUCCGGAUUUAUUGGGUUUAAAGGGAGCGUAGGCGGAUUAUUAAGUCAGUGGUGAAAGACGGUGGCUCAACCAUCGUUAGCCAUUGAAACUGGUAGUCUUGAGUGCAGACAGGGAUGCUGGAACUCGUGGUGUAGCGGUGAAAUGCUUAGAUAUCACGAUGAACUCCGAUCGCGAAGGCAGGUGUCCGGGCUGCAACUGACGCUGAGGCUCGAAAGUGUGGGUAUCAAACAGGAUUAGAUACCCUGGUAGUCCACACAGUAAACGAUGUAUACUCGCGGUUUGCGAUAUAUUGUAAGCCGCCAAGCGAAAGCAUUAAGUAUACCACCUGGGGAGUACGCCGGCAACGGUG